rnacentral:rRNA from 1 species
UACGAAGGGGGCUAGCGUUGCUCGGAAUCACUGGGCGUAAAGCGCACGUAGGCGGACUCUUAAGUCGGGGGUGAAAUCCUGGAGCUCAACUCCAGAACUGCCUUCGAUACUGAAAAGCUUGAGUCCGGGAGAGGUGAGUGGAACUGCGAGUGUAGAGGUGAAAUUCGUAGAUAUUCGCAAGAACACCAGUGGCGAAGGCGGCUCACUGGCCCGGUACUGACGCUGAGGUGCGAAAGCGUGGGGAGCAAACAGG